GUGGCAACGCGAUCGGUUCGCCGCCCAUGACAUCACGAGAAGUCCACUGAACCUUAUCAUUUAGAGGAAGGAGAAGUUGUAACAAGGUUUCCAUAGGUGAACCUGCGGAAGGAUCAUUG
rnacentral:rRNA from 1 species